GCCUGGGUAGCUCAGUUGGUGAGCAUCUGACUUCGGCUCAGGUCAUGAUCUUAUGGUUUUUUGGGUUUGAGCCCACAUCAGGCU
rnacentral:tRNA from 1 species